AGAUUGAACGCUGGCGGCAUGCCUUACACAUGCAAGUCGAACGGUAGAGUAGCAAUACUCGAGAGUGGCGAACGGGUGAGUAAUAUAUCGGAACGUGCCCAGUCGUGGGGGAUAACGUAGAGAAAUUUACGCUAAUACCGCAUACGAUCUACGGAUGAAAGCGGGGGACUCGCAAGAGCCUCGCGCGAUUGGAGCGGCUGAUAUCAGAUUAGGUUGUUGGUGAGGUAAAAGCUCACCAAGCCGACGAUCUGUAGCUGGUUUGAGAGAACGACCAGCCACACUGGGACUGAGACACGGCCCAGACUCCUACGGGAGGCAGCAGUGGGAAUUUUGGACAAUGGGCGAAAGCCUGAUCCAGCAAUGCCGCGUGCAGGAAGAAGGCCUUACGGUGUAACUGCGUUUUGAACGGUAACGAAAGGUCUACUUUCUAAUAAGAGGCCAGUGACGUACGUAAGAAUAAGCACCGGACUAACGUACGUCGCCAGCAGCCG
rnacentral:rRNA from 1 species